ACAACUAAUCACGAUGGAUAUCUUGGCUCUUGAAACGAUGAAGAACGCAGCGAAAUGCGAUAGGUAAUGCGAAUUGCAGAACUCUGUGAGUCAUCAAAUCUUUGAACGCACAUUGCACUUCCUUUGGGAGUAUACUUGUUUGAGUAUUGGUAAUCGGUUCUAACGAUGGUUGAAGAUUGGCUGUGUGGAACAGCUGAAAGGGAAGAGUGGAAUGAAUUGGGUGGGUGCCAAAUUCAUCUCUAUGAAAUUGGCGUUUUACAAAGACGCAAACCCUAAUCUCAAAUCAAGUAAGAAGACCUGCUGAAUUGAAGCAUCUAACUAAGCAGAGGAAAAGAAAAUAACAAUGAUUCCCUUAGUAACGGCGAGUGAAGUGGGAGAAGCCCAAGCCAAAAUCACUGUAAAGUGAGUUGUAGUGUGAAGACUGGUGUGAAGGUGAAGAAGCAUCGAAUUUGAUUGGAAAGUCAAGUCCUAGAAGGUGAAAACCCUGUAAGAUGCCUUACUCAUCAAAACAAUACCAGUUCGUGGAGUCGAGUUGUUUGGGAUUGCAACUCGAAGUUGGUGGUAAACAUCAUCAAAGGCUAAAUAGUGUCAAGAGACCGAUAGCGAACAAGUACCGUGAGGGAAAGAUGAAAAGAACUUUGAAAAAAGAGUGAAAUAGUACUUGAAAUCGUGGUUAGGUUAAGCGCAGAGGCUGAGUGGUAUUGUAGAACUUGUGUCCUUUACAGUUGUGAAGGGUUUAAGUUGUAUGAUAGGUGUUUGUGGUGUUUGUCUCCUCCAACCUAGAGGGGGAUGAGCACCCCACACACAAAAUCAACCUCUUCGUCCCGUCUUGAAACACGGACCAAGGAGUCUAUCAUGGAUGCGAGUACGUUGGUGUCAAACCAAAGUGCGUAAUGAAAGUAAAUCGUGUGAUCAUUGAAAGAUGCGCAACAUGUGCCGAUCUGGAUUCUCUGAAGAAAGAUUCGAGUAAUAGCAUUUAUGGUGGGACCCGAAAGAUGGUGAACUAUGCCUGAAUAGGACGAAGCCAGGGGAAACUCUGGUGGAGGUUCGAGUGGAUUCUAACGUGCAAAUUGAUCUUUAAAUUUGGGUAUAGGGGCGAAAGACUAAUCGAACCAUCUAGUAGCUGGUUCCUUCCGAAAUUUCCCUCAGGAUAGCUGCAACUUAUGAAAUAGUUUUAUGAGGUAAAGCGAAUGAUUAGAGGCUUCGGGAAUGUACUAUUCUUGACCUAUUCUCAAACUUUAAAUGGGUAAGAAGCAGUUGAUGUUUAGUUAAUCAGCUGUGAUGAAUAUGAGUUGCAAGUGGGCCAUUCCGGGUAAGCUGGACUGGCGAUGCGGGAUCAACCGAACGCUAUGGUACGGCGCCUGAUUAUUCGCUCAGUAGGACGUAAAAGGUGUUAGUUCAUCUAGACAGCAGGACGGUGGCCAUGGAAGUCGGAAUCCGCUAAGGAGUGUGUAACAACUCACCUGCCGAAUGAAGUAGCCCUGAAAAUGGAUGGCGCUCAAGCGAAUAGCCUAACCAUAGCCAUUCAACUUAGUCGUAAAGUUGAAUGAGUAGGAAGGCGUGAUGGAGGUAGAGAAGACUAGCGUGUGAACGCAGUUGGAACGUCCAUUAGUGCAGAUCUUGGUGGAAGUAGCAAAUAUUCAAAUGAGAUCUUUGAAGACUGAAGUGGAGAAAGGUUCCAUAGGAAUCGUGAUGAUCUAUGGGUUAGUCGAUCCUAAGAGAUAGGUGAAAUCCAUUGAAAGGAUGACGUUGGUCAUCGUCUAUCGAAAGGGAAUCAGGUUAAUAUUCCUGAACCAAUAGAAGUGUGUCGGUAACGGUAUUGGGAUUGAAGACAUUGAUGGUACUCCUGGGAAGAGUUGUCUUUUCUUGUUAACAAAUGGCAGUCCUUGGAAUAAAUUCAGUUUGCGAGAAGGAUUGUGGUUUGGUAAAGGUUCCUGGUUGUUGGGAGCUCUGGUGCAGUAUCAGCAGUCCUUGAAAAUUCAAUCUCAACGUAACUUCUAUUGUUCGUACUCAUAACCGCAUCAGGUCUCCAAGGUGAAUAGCCUCUAGUUAAUAGAAUAAUGUAGGUAAGGGAAGUCGGCAAAUUAGAUCCGUAACUUCGGGAAAAGGAUUGGCUCUGAGGGCUAAGCAGAAUGAGUAUUGGUUAGGAAACGGCUUGUGGUGCAUGGGUUUGUUGUGCCUUCGGGUGUGAUGAAUGUGUGUGCUAUGAAAAGGGCCCUGACCUCUACUUCCCUGCAAUGAAUAGCUAACUCAGAACUGGUACGGACAAGGGGAAUCCGACUGUUUAAUUAAAACAAAGCAUUGUGAUGGUGUGAAAGAUAUGUUGACACAAUGUGAAUUCUGCCCAGUGCUCUGAAUGUCAAAGUGAAGGAAUUCAACCAAGCGCGGGUAAACG
rnacentral:rRNA from 1 species